rnacentral:lncRNA from 1 species
UCACACAGCCAUGAGGGAAGGCUAUUUUUAUGUUCCAAGCCAACACACUGGAGAGUUCUGGGAAUGCAGCAUGGAUCCAACUUCUUUGAGAGAGACUGAAAGGAGAAGAUAAGUGCUAGCUCUCAAGCUGAAAAUACCACAGAGAUCUCUGCUUCUCAGCAAGGUCUGUUUUCCAGGUAUUUUGUGAGAUAAUAAGAAGGGACACAAUCCAAUUAAGAAAAUAGACCAUCAAGUGGCAGAAA